rnacentral:rRNA from 1 species
UACGAAGGGGGCGAGCGUUGUUCGGAUUGACUGGGCGUAAAGGGCGCGUAGGCGGUCUUCCAAGUCAGGCGUGAAAGCCCCGGGCUUAACCUGGGAACGGCGCUUGAGACUGGCGGACUUGAGUUCGGGAGAGGAUGGUGGAAUUCCCAGUGUAGAGGUGAAAUUCGUAGAGAUUGGGAAGAACACCAGUGGCGAAGGCGGCCAUCUGGACCGACACUGACGCUGAGGCGCGACAGCGUGGGGAGCAAACAGG